UACGAAGGGGGCUAGCGUUGUUCGGAAUUACUGGGCGUAAAGCGUAUGUAGGCGGAUCGGUAAGUCGGGGGUGAAAUCCUGGAGCUCAACUCCAGAACUGCCUUCGAUACUGUCGAUCUUGAGUCCGGGAGAGGUGAGUGGAACUGCGAGUGUAGAGGUGAAAUUCGUAGAUAUUGGGAAGAACACCGGUGGCGAAGGCGGCUCUCUGGCCCUCUGUUGACGCUCAUGUGCGAAAGCGUGGGGAGCAAACAGG
rnacentral:rRNA from 1 species